rnacentral:rRNA from 1 species
CCUACGGGGGGCAGCAGUGAGGAAUAUUGGUCAAUGGACGAGAGUCUGAACCAGCCAAGUAGCGUGAAGGAUGACUGCCCUAUGGGUUGUAAACUUCUUUUAUAUGGGAAUAAAAUGUUCCACGUGUGGGAUUUUGUAUGUACCAUAUGAAUAAGGAUCGGCUAACUCCGUGCCAGCAGCCGCGGUAAUACGGAGGAUCCGAGCGUUAUCCGGAUUUAUUGGGUUUAAAGGGAGCGUAGGUGGAUUGUUAAGUCAGUUGUGAAAGUUUGCGGCUCAACCGUAAAAUUGCAGUUGAAACUGGCAGUCUUGAGUACAGUAGAGGUGGGCGGAAUUCGUGGUGUAGCGGUGAAAGGCUUAGAUAUCACGAAGAACUCCGAUUGCGAAGGCAGCUCACUGGACUGCAACUGACACUGAGGCUCGAAAGUGUGGGUAUCAAACAGGAUUAGAUACCCCUGUAGUC